rnacentral:rRNA from 1 species
UACGUAGGUGGCAAGCGUUGUCCGGAUUUACUGGGCGUAAAGAGCGCGCAGGCGGUCGCUCAAGUCGCGUGUGAAAGCCCCCCGGCUCAACUGGGGAGGGUCACGCGAUACUGAUCGACUGGAAGGCAGGAGAGGGUAGUGGAAUUCCCGGUGUAGUGGUGAAAUGCGUAGAUAUCGGGAGGAACACCAGUGGCGAAGGCGACUACCUGGCCUGUUCUUGACGCUGAGGCGCGAAAGCUAGGGGAGCAAACGGG